rnacentral:rRNA from 1 species
UACGUAGGUGGCAAGCGUUAUCCGGAAUUAUUGGGCGUAAAGAGCGCGCAGGUGGUUGAUUAAGUCUGAUGUGAAAGCCCACGGCUUAACCGUGGAGGGUCAUUGGAAACUGGUCGACUUGAGUGCAGGAGAGGAGAGCGGAAUUCCCGGUGUAGCGGUGGAAUGCGCAGAGAUCAGGAGGAAUACCGAAGGCGAAGGCAGUCUUCCAAGCCGUUAUUGACGCUCAACUGCGAAGGUGUGGGUAUCAAACAGGAUUAGAUACCCG